CGGCGAAUACUGCUCUUCAUCGAGCACUUUUUACUCUCGCUCUGCAGUCAUCCCAAAGCUUACUUAACUAACGCAAGUGUAAAAUUAUGUGUUACUUAACUAACGCAGCGUGACUUAAGUCAAACACGUGUAAAAACCGUUUUUUUACACUUGCGUGACUUAAGUCACGCUGCGUGAGUUAACUCACGCUGAAAUUAACACAUGCGUGAGUUAACUCAAGCAAGUUUUAUUUUUGCAUUUUCACAUGCGUGACUUAGUUUUGUUUGUGCGUGAGUUAACUGAGUUAAAGUGAAACAUAACAGAGUCAACAGUGACAAACUUCAUAGCAAUCAAAUUCAUUCUAAGCCUUUUCAAGACUCCUCAACAGUAACACUCACGAAUUUGUCACCCACCACUUUACUAUGUUAUGCUUUUUUGCACAUACAUAAAUUCUCUUGAACUCUCUUGCAACCAAUCAUUUGUAACUGUAUUGUUGAAUCUUGAAUUUACUGAUGUUUCCAUCCCCGCCGUUGCAAGGCCCUUUCUUUUAUUUUUGUUCCUAGCAUUCCGCUUCACCCUAGAACGAUCGAUUUACUGCAUUACUGCACAAAUGUCUUUGCACAUAUUCAGAGUUGCAUUUUCUCUAUUGGAGGAACUUUCAUAUCUUGCUCGUGUGUCAAAAUUUAUGGAAUUUAUACAAGUGUUGGAAGAUAUUUUUUCAGGCAAGUCUCUGGAAACUUUUGUAGGAAUGGAAGACUUGUUCAAUUCUGACCUUCGCAUCGCAUAUAUUUCCUUUUGGCACUUGGGUUUUCUUUUGGUUUUGCCCCAUUAUGCUUUCUUUUUAAACAUGUACUUUUGGCUUGCAUAUCUUCUCUUAGUGACAUGUUAUUGUCUGAUGCAUUCUUCAUGGAAGUUUUAAUGUCAUGAGCAAGGUCUUGAUUUAUUCCCUAUAUGACUACAUUAUGUUUGCUCAUAUGUGUAGUUGCACUUUCUCGGACCACAAAACUCUCUUCCAUUCCUCCUAUGUCAAAAUUUGUGUAACAUUUACAUGCUGGUUUUCUUCUCACGUACUUCCCCUUGUCAGUUGUAUUUUCUUUUGAUUAAGCAGGCUUUGGAGUCGCUAUCUUUAGAGUUCUUUUGGAGUUUCCUUCUAUAAUGACUUUGAGGCGGUGCUUUUUCCUCCAUGGGUCUUUUCCUGGUGUUUUAUUCAGAUUGUUGUUUCCCUCAUUUGGUUUGUGGUUCUCCUUCGAUGGUAAAGAAAGAUCAACGUUGACAGAUUCCACUAUAUUAUCAAAAUUGUCAGAGAUAUAUUUGUUUUGUUGGGUUUCAUCCUUCUCAAGCUUUUUGGCAAGGUCAUUCUGGGAAGUUCUCUUCUGACGUGCUUCAAAAAUUCAAAUAAAUAUGAGUGUUAAAAGCAGGACUUAUCUGGGGGAUGACAAGGGUGGAAUUCAAGCCCUUGUAAUACAAUAUACCAUCAAAAUCAAAGUUAAAUGUUUUUUUUAAGGACUAUCAAAGUUAAUGUUUUCUUAUUAUAUAUAACGUAAUAUUCAACUGAUAUAAGCUACACGUAAUAUUACUACCAACUUAUCUAAGCCACGGGGAGGAGAAAUCGUACUCCUAAACGUAAAUCAAUGUUUUUGAAAAUUAGUUGUUUCAAUGAAAGCUUAAAAAUUCAAAAGAGAAAUGAUAGUUAUAUAACCAUUUUGUGAUAACUUUUAAACAAUUUUCUCUUUUAACAAUUUUCUCUGGAUCAUGUUAUGUUCUUAUUAUCUUUCUUUUUCUCUCUCCUACUGUUUUUUGACUACUAAGCAAAAGAAAAGGAAUGUUGUCACAAAAUAAAAUAAAACAAAGAAUGAUAGUGUUCGAAUAGACUACAAAUAGUUUGUAUUAUAGAAAAAGAAAAAGACUACAAAUAGCUUGAAAACAACUUAAUAACAAAGGGAGUACACCUUUCACGGAAACAACUUAAGAAGGAUAGACAAGUACAACACAAAAUUAAAAACAUUCACGAGAGUUCAAAUAAUUACAGAUAUAUAUUUACCGUGAGGAUCACGGAAAUUGUAAAAGACGACUGAUUUUGAAACACUGGGCUUAACAGGGGUUGUAGGGAUCCAAGUAAGCUUCUUUCCAUCAAUGUUCACCAUAAACCCUAACUAAAUGUUUGAUGAAUUUAUACUAAUUUUGAUUGUGCUGAAAGGGAGGAGAAUUUUUGGGUGGGGAAAUCGAUGGACCGGUGAAAAUCAAUUCCCCUCCUUCUCCCUUUAAUAUCAUAACAGUCAACUUGAGUGAUAGGAGGAAGAAGGAUGAGAGUUUGGUGAUGGAUUGGAAGCAUGCAUGGUUGGAAUGGAUUUUGGGAAGGAGAUGGUGUGUUUCACGUGAAAGUUUUUUAGAUCGGAGAGUUCAGACUGCUAGAAGGGAAGAUGAAGAAGCAUCUCUCGUAGUACCAAAAUCCCGACCCAAUUUUUUUUCCAAGGAGUGUUGAUGUUUUCCGUUGUUUUUUUUUUAUGUUUUUUUUUUUCCUUUUUAAUGACUAUUGGUCCAAAAAAUACCAACCAUUGGAUUGAUCCAAUGACUAAGAUUUGGUUAACGAGAGAGAUGGUGACAAUUUUGAAGGAGAUGAUCUGGUUCCGGUCAUAUAUAGCGUGUUUUGGAUAUGAUUAACUUAAGUGGAAGAACCGGCAACGGGUUGGUUCAAAUAAUAAGGGAUCUAGACCUCUUAUAUAUGUGAUCAAAGGUUCGAUUUAAGAUGAAAAAUUAAACUUUUAUACAUUCAAACCUUUUAGGUUUUUUAUUGAAUUUGUCAUGAGAAAAAAUCGACCAAGAAUUAAAUUUUAUCGCGGAUUGUUCCAUCACCAAAGAUCGAACUCCAUUACCAAUCAAAUAUAUUUCUUUAGAUGAAACAUAUUAACCACUUGUAUGUCAACCUCGUGGUUAUUACACUAUCAAAUUUAAUUGAAUAAAUAAAAUGUACACAACCACCUGAAAAGGCUUUUGCAAAACAAAACCGCUAGAAAUGAUGUCAACAAUUUAAAAAUUGAAUAUUUCCAAUAAAUCAUGAUAGAUAAUAGCUAAUGUUGGUUGGCCCUUUAUAUUUAUAAGUUAGUAAUAUAUUCCCUCCAUUCCAAUUUAUAAGCAAAAAAUUCAAAUUCACACUUAUUAAGAAAACAAAAACAUUGUAGUUUGAGGUAUAAUUUUUUGUGUUCUUCAUAAAAUAAGUUUCAUGGAAAGAUGUAAAAACAAUUCUCAUUAGUUAUAAUAAUUAUAGAGGGAAUAGAAAGGAGAACAAAUUGAAUGCGAUUUGCAUUUAAUUUUACUUUGGAAAAGAUGACUUUUUUGAAAUAACACAAAAGUUGGUCUUUUUUGCUUAUAUUUUAGGACAAAGAAAAUGAAAUUUUUUUGCUUAUAAUUUGGGACGGAGGGAGUACUCAUUUUAGGUUUUAUCACAUAUUCUCUUUUGUAAUUCUUAUUUUCAUAAGCUAUUCUUCUUUUUACAUUAUUGAAACUAUAACUUUUUCUACUUUUUUUAUUUCGUGAUCUCUAUUGUUAACAUGACAUUAGAGUUUAAUUCGAUCAUCCUUGAACUAUUUGCCAUUAUUAUGUUGGUGAGUUUUCAAAAGUUCGGGAAUAUUUUUAAUUUACUCUUUGAUGAUUGGAUCUAUUAACCGUGGUUUAGUUCUCUUGGUUUGUUCUUUUGUUGGUUAUUAGGUUGUUUCCUAUUGUUUGUUGUAGUAGCUGCAUUUUUUAAUUAUCUGGGUUUGUGAAAAGGGUUAUCGUUUGUUGAACACGCAUAGGGUAAACUUAAACUUGUUUCGAAACUUAUAUUUAAACGAAAAUUGCUCAAAACACCCUUCAAUUGUAACACACUUUUGAAGUGUAUUAUGACUGCAAAUGCACUAUUGGAUGGAGGCUAUUUAUUUAAAUGAGAAUUUUUAGCUCGGUCUUAUAAAGUCUAAAAUUUAGGGAUAUCCAACUUAUUUACUUGAAAAAUGUGAAUUCGACUAAACUACUUAACCAAAAAAAACAAUAUAUAUAAAUUUGAGAAUGAGAAGAAGAUUAUUAUAUUUGGUCCACAUAGUCAAAAAUCAAACGAAUGUUACGGCACAAAUUAUGAGAAAGGUAGGAAACAAAUGUAUAUAAUAAUUGAUAGUUUGAUACCCACCAUGUGGUGUGGUUGGCUAUCAAAUGAGAAAGGAAGAGAAUGGUAUCCAUGUGACAUAUCUGACUUUGAUAGAUUGUUGUUGGGUUUCAACUUUCAACAACACAAAAAAAAAAAAAAAGAUAAGAAAAUACAUUAAACACUUUUUUUCUAUAUGUAUUUCCUAUUUUCUAUUUAGUUAUUUUUUGUCAACUUCCAUUUAUAUUUUUCUUGUCAUCUUGUUCUUUUUUAUUCUGCAGUUUAAACAAAUUUAACGAACUAUUGCUAAUAGGAAUGGGAAGGUUCCCUACAUAUGAGACAUUAAGGCCAUAUGAGAUAUCAAGGCUCAUAAUUUGUUGUUGAAUUUCCACACACAUUUAUCCUCCCUUCCAUCAUGAUACAUACCAUCAAUAAAAUUCCAUAUCCAUCUCCAUAUAUACUAAUAAGAGAAAGAUUUAAAUAUAAUUUUAAUCCCUACGAUUAUAUUGUGUUUUUUCGGUAACUUUUUCUGUUUGAAUUCAAUCUUCAAAUUAAAAAAUUGUUACUUUUAAUCUUGUCGUCACAUGUGACCCAAUAAAAUCAUAUCACGUGAGCUAAUAAACUGACGAUAUAGACUUUAAACAAUAGUUUUGAAUUUGCAAAGAUUGAAUUCAAACAAAAAAAAACUUACAAGGACUACAACAAAAAUUACUAUAACCGUAAAGACUAAAAUCAUAUUUAAACCUAAGAUAAAUAUCAUAGACGAAGGAAAUCAUCCGAUAAAGCAAGAUGAGUGAUAUUUAGUACCCCUCUAGCAAGUUGAAUUGUCUUGUAAAGAUCUUCAUUGACUGCAAUAUUAACAAGAUGGAAAAGCUUCUACAAUCAUGUAACAAAUUAAGAGAUACAAAAACAUUUGAUCACCUUGUCAAACACUUAAAGAAAUACAUAAUUCAUCAAGUGCUUCCCCAUUUAAACCAUUCUCAUGCGAGAAGAAGAAAACAAUGUCAUAUAAGAGAAACAAAAUUGAAAGGGGUACCAACAUCAUAUAUUGUAUCCUUUACAAAAUCUCAAUCCAUACGAUCAUAGAACUUCUCCAAAUCGUCUAUUGUAUAUAUCUUUAAAAAAAAACUUUGAUCGUGUAUUAUAUCCUUUAAAAAAAAAAAGUUUGAUGCAACCAUUAAAUUUUGAGAGCAAUGAUCACACUGAAUUUUGAACAACCACACAUAUGAGUUGGAUGGAUACCACAUGAUCAUUCAUAAUUUCAAUAUAUUAUGUAUAUUGAUCAUCUUACUUGUAUGUUUUUUAACCUCCAAUACUCCAUCAAUGUAAAAAAAAAAAAUUAACUCACACUCAAUAUACCGAUCUAUCUAUCACUAGUCGUCCACAUUUAUUACUAGUAUUAUAUUAUGUUUAUAAUUGAAAAUUCAAGUAACUAUAUGGUGGAAUCUAUCAUGACACCAUCUUAUCUCUCGCCUAAAUUGAAAGCCACUCGUAGCUAAAGUGUUUUUUGCAUUGGACAAAGAAAAGUUCAAAACCCCUAACGCAUAGACCAUUUCUAGAAACUAAAUUGAUCAGUUACAUUUGGCAUUAUUAAUGCUGUUAUAGAAGCAAAAUAACAGUGGGAAGAUUUCUUAGUCAAACGUUAAAUUUCAUCAUAAGCCUGCAGCUGCCGCACAAAUUUGAUUUGAAUAUGUCUUUCUUCUAUUCUCUAACAACUCAUCUCCAACGAUAUCUUUCAUUUCUUAAUUUCUUUUUUUAGAUAUAAUAUGAUAUUUUAUGAUGAAUACAGUGUUAUCCAAAUUGACAUCAGAUAGAAUGGAAUCUAAAACUUUGAAAGUAUAUUCUAAAUCUUAAGUCAGUGUCAGACCAACCUAAGUAAGUUACUAUCACCAAAUAUUCAAUAACUGUGAAUAAAUUUAUGUACAAAGUACAAUUUUUUUUUUUUUAAAGAACCUACAAAGUAUCAAUAUUUAACCAAAUUUUAGGGUAUUUAAGAAUUUACCAUUUUUUAUAUAAUAUAUAGGCUAAAAUAUGGUUUUAAUCCCUGCAAAUAUGCCUCGUUUUGGUUUUAGUCCCUGGUAAAAAAAAAAUUGUUUUUGGUCCCUGCAAAAUUUUUUGUUUUUGAAAAUAGUCUCUGCCCCUACUUUUGUGAUGAUUUGCAUACGUGGCACAUUAUAACUGAACCAAUUUUGUAGUUUUUGGUCCCUGCAAAAUAUUUUGUUUUUAAAAAAGGUACUUGCAAAAUUUUUUGUCACAAAAAAAUUUGCAGGAACCAAAAUGAGACAUAUUUGCAGGGACUAAAACCAUAUUAUAUUUUAGCCUAAUAUAUAUAAUAUGCUUGUAGGAUAAUGUCAUGUCAAGUAGGGCUCUUUAGUCUGGAAGCUAAGAUUGCCUCCAACUUGCUUCAUGCAAUCGCUGUCAAUCAAACCAUAUAUUAGUAGGUUUUUAAUCAUCUAUCAUUUGCUCCAUCUUUUAAUUUGUCUUUUUAGAAAAUCUUCAUCUCUUGCAUCAUAACUCAGAAGUGUCGUAUUUAUAAUUCGCUAAGAAGAAAAAAAGCUAAAACCAAGUGUCAUUAUCUCUUUCCAACGUACAAUUCUAUCAUAAUUGAUUUAUUAUAAUUAGUGUAUUUUUCGAUCACAGUUAUAAGCAAAAAUUCAUUCAUUUGUACAGUUUAUUAAAUAACUGAUGAAUCUAGUUUAUCAUAAUUAAUUUAUUAUAAUUUGUACAGUUUAUUAAAUAACUGAUGAAUCUAAUUUAUCAUAAUUAAUUUAUUAUAAUUUGUACAGUUUUUGGUCUUAAUUAUAAGAAAAAACUCAAUUGUUGGGUUUAUUAAAUAACCGAUAAAUCUGAUUUAUAAUAUUAACCAUAUACAUUGAUCAUUUAAUAAAUAAAAAAAGUGAAAUUUUACUUAUAAUUAAUAGUGACCAAAAAGUGUUGUUACAAUUUGAAAUCACAAAUAUCUAUAAGUAUAUUUUAUGAAACAUUUAUGUCUAUUUGUAUCACUUUUUAUUUUAUUGCUAAAAAUUUAGGGUUGGAUGGUGUCCUAGUCCAAGUUAGGCAAGACAUUCGACUUAAAGAACAUUUUUAAAAGAAUUUAUAUUUACUUUUAUUUAAGUGUAUUAAUGGAGCUCGAAUUCGGGAGCUCCGAAACCAACACAUGUCUUAUUACCCAUUAGACCAACUCCUGAAGUAAUUUGUAUCACUUUUAGUUAUUAUAUAUCAUCCUUCAUAUCAAUGAUUAGCAAAAGUAAUUUAAUAAUUUGUUAUGCUCUUUAAUUUAUAUAUGUGAAAUAAUUUAGUUUAAGAUCCGUAUUCAGAUGUUAUGAGUUCGAAUUCGACAAUAAAAAUGCAACAAUGUUAAUUUUAAACAUCUUGAGGUAGGGCUUUGAGUUCGAAUACACAGAAGAUAUUCAAUUUAUUAAAAAUAAUCAUGUUUAUUAUAAUAAGCAUCUCAAAGAGUUCAUUUUCUUUGCUGAUCGAUAAAAGAGUUCAUAAGAAGAAAAUCAUGAAUUACGUUGCAUAGAUGUUAAAAACAACAAGAUAUAAUAUAAUCUCAUAAUAGAGAGAUAGCACAUUCUUUGUAAAAAAGAUGGUAUUAUAAUCUUGUAUAUGACAUUAUUUUAUUUAUAAAAAAAAAACUCUUUUUCAAGCAAUUUGGAACCAAAAUUUUUAAAAAAAAAAAUUAAAGAGGUUGAGUGAGUACUUUCAUAUACAAUAUAGAUUGUGAUCGGGUAUUUAGAACUUGUGUGCAUGUGGUUGUGGUAUAUUCUUGCAAAUUAACAGUAGAGUACAUUUUCUUGAUGGUUGUUGGAGCUAUCAUGGAUAAUUAAUAUAAGUAGUGGUAACCAAAUUUUGGUGGUUACUUCUAGUAAGGAAAUUGAGUUCAUCUCUUGUUUUAAGGCUAGUUACUUUGCAUGGUGUGUAUUGAGCAAGAGUUUUAUUUUUGGACUUAGAAUUGUAGGUUCUAUUUCUAGGUCUUUGAUUUUUUUUGCAAUAAUUUAAUUGCUUUCUAAAUCGUGGUAAGAACAACAAAAGUGGAAGUUGAAGCAAACAUAAAGAUAAAAAUUUGACCGUUUAGCACAAUAAGAUUGAUUUGGUGAUCAUUGAUCAUUUAAAAUGGGCACACCAGCAAUGAAAUUCAAGGAUUGUGUAUAAAAAAAUAAUGGCUUGGUUCCAUUCCGAGUUUGUACAUCCAGCUUGUUAAUAAAACUCUUACUAUAUCAUAUAUCAUAUGUUUUCUCAUAUCUUCAUAUAUUCUUUUCUUUUUUUUAACCGAGUAUCUUCUGCAUGCAACUAUGGACGGAAAACUUUAAAUUUUAAUGCUGCUACAUGUUUAAGGCUGGAUUUGAACAUAUAACCUUGAUUAAACUGGAAGACACUCGUGUCAUCUCAUAUAAACAUUUUUGAGUAUAUCUUCAUAUAUUUAUUUUAUGUGUACGUUAAUUUAUUUGAGAACAUAUAUAUUUUGGCGAUCUCCCUGCAAAAUUAAACAUGCACUGGUCCUAAUAACGGUGACAAAUAUUCCCACCAAUAAAUAUCCUAUAAGGUAAAACCAAAAUACCUCGAGCAAUGAAUACUUUAUAUAUGAAGUUUUAUUUACAAGAAUAACAUAUGAAGUUGUGUUCUUUAAUUUUACAAGUUAGAAAAUUGUUCCUUAUUAUUAUUUUACAUCUUGUUACGUGGAUAGCCAUUGGUUUCCACUUUCCAGCUUGUCCUUUCCUCUUACUUAGAGUAACAACUACUGUAUCUAAACUAAAAAGAAUAAAAGAAAAACUGUCUUUCUCAAAAUAUACAGAAAAAUGGGUUACCUAAUCUUUGACUCACUCACAAUUAACUACUAAUUGGGAAUUACCUUACUAUAAAUGAGAGAAUAGACAACUAGCUUUCUUUUAAAAAAUUUCUCUGUCUUUGUAAAAUGAUAUAGGAACACUUUAUUUCCAAGCAUAAUAACUCUCUUAGUGAGUGAAAUCAAUGACAGUUUAGUUUCACAUUUUGAAAAUAAACCACACAUAAAAUGGUGAGGCCAGUUUCAUUCAAUAAGAAAUUGAACGUUGGAAGAAUGAGUGUUGACUGUUGAAGAUAGAUUGUUUAUAAUAGUUUUAGUGUUUCGAUAUUUGGUGUUUUUUUUCACGAGAUACUUUGUGUGUUUAUCAUUGUCGUUUUUCAAGACAUUUUGAUAUGAUUUAUGAUGUGUAUGUGUUUGGUUCUACAAGAGAAAACUUUGAUUUUGGAUUAAUUGAUUCUAUGAAAUUAAUUUUGGUUAUAAUUGAGUUGAAGAUAAAAUGAUUUAUGUUUGAAUAUAUUUAUGUAAAAGUGAGUUGAACAAUAAAUUUAAAUUUGAAAAUAAAUUGUAGAACUAAAUGCUAAAGUUUUUAACUGUAAGUAGAAUGAAUUCUAGAGACAAAAGUAAAUUUCGAUCUUUCUUCUCUAUUCCCAAAUUGUUCUUUUAAGAUUAUAAGUUAUGUUGCAUGCCUCUGUUGCUUUAAUUUGAAUCUAGGUUACAUGGGUGUACAUGUUUUGCCUACAAUGAAUGAUCUUGUAUCGGGUGUAAUUUGAAGGACAAAAUGGAUAAACUCAAUCUGAAAUAUCAUUGUCACAAUUUGGACCUCUUGAUGAUCCAUUGUUGUCUCUUAAGGUACCAAACAUAAUAGAAAGAAUUAUCUUCCAAACUUUACAUAAAAUAUCAUUGAAGAAGAAGAAUGUAGCUUUUUAAUGUAUUUAAAAAUAGUGCAUUAUAUGUAACACCAAUUGAAACAAGACAUGCAUGAUAUUGUGAAUGGAGGGCAUCCACAUUCCACACCUAGUUUGAAAGGAGGGCAAUCAUUAAGAAACUCUAUAUACCUACGACUAUUUGUAUCCUUCAAUGUUAGAUGGAAUUGUGAAUGGUUAAUUCUUCUUAAUUAGUGAAUUGUUAAUGAAUUGCGAUAUCUAAUUAUAUUCAUUAACCUUUCAUCAAACAUGAUUAAUAUUAUUAUAUUUAAAAGAAUUUGCUAGAAUACACCCACUUAUUUUUUAAAAGAAGUAUUUUAACAAAGAUAUAACUAAAGUGGUUAAAUACACCUUAAAAUGCAUGUUGCUAUAACACUCAUUCUAAAAACUAAGUGGAUGUAAGUUAUCAACUCCUAGAAGCAUUUGCUAGAAUUCACAUAUAUAGUUAUUUUUUUAAAAAAGUAUUUUAGCAUGUGAUAACUAAAAAGGUGGUCAAUACACACUAAGGUACAUGCUCUAGCUUUAUAAAAAUAAGUGGUUUUAUCCUAGCAAAUCUUAUAUUUAAAUUGUAUUAAUCACUUAAUUUAUUAUUGAAAUUUGAUCUCAAAAUUGAGCAUCUAUUCAGUGUGCUUAAAUGAGCCCCAAAUAUACACAUCAUCAGUUUUUGAUAUUAACAUUUAAUAAAAAUUCAAUCUUAAUUUGAUCCAACAUCUCAAACAAUAAAAUGAGAAACUCUUGGGUGGAUACAAAGAUUUGGACCAUUUAUUUGAUCACACACACAUAAAAAGGAAAAAGUAGAAAAAAUAAUAAUUAAAUAGUCAUUAAUUAUCAAAUGAUUUUAGCAUAUUCACUUUUUUUUUGUGACCAAAUAAAAAGUCCAAAUCUUUGCGUCCACCCAAGAAUUAUUUCAAUAAAAUUUAUUUAUUUUGAUACAAUUUAUUAAGGGUUCCCUAUGAAAAAGUGGAGAGAAAUCAAAGAACACUUCAUAACCAUAAUUCUCCAACUUUACAUUCCUUCCUUAGUGAAGAUGUUUAUUUAACUUUGUGGCAAAUCGGUAGAUAGAUGGUCUUAAGUUUGAGAGAGGAAAAGACAAGCAUUUAGAUUUAGAUUAAGACCACUUCACUUUUUGCAGGGAAGUGUGCCCUUAACGGUUGAAUUGCAUAGCCAACAAAGUCUAGUCCAUCUAUCCCUUAAUUUAUCAUUACUUUUAUUAUAUUUUAGUAGGUGUUAAGUAAAUUUCGAUUUUUAAUAUGUGAGUCCACAACUGUCACAUGCAGGCCAAAUUGUCUUAUUCAUCACGUAGGUGUGAGAAAUGGAAAUAUGAAUUUGGUAGGCUUUAAAUAUGAAUUUACUUCAACAAAAAAAAAAAAAGAUUUCUUUUUUUAUACUCCUAAUGUAUAUAGGAGCACAAAGUCAAUAAUUCACCCAUCAUCAAUUAACGCGUAGAAAACCAAAUCAAAUCACAUUUCCAAUGAUAUUUAACAUGUAAUUUAUGAUUUAUUAUAUCUUCUAACCCAAUCAAAACGUUUCAUUUACUAUAGUAUUGGUAUGAAGUUUUCACCGUUGCUUAACUGUGAUUAAUCUUUAUUGAAAAAUCUAUGAAAUACACAAGAUAGCUUUUUAACUUCCAAUAGGAUUUUAUUCAAACCAAAAAUCCAACCCAUGACCUCAUUUUACAAACUUACAUGGUGCACCCAAACACGGUAAAGACUAGAGUACUUCAAUUAAAAACUAUCGUAGAUAUCUUUUGUUUUGGCAUAAAUCAUGGAUAUUGUUUUUGUCCAGUAAUAAUUGUGGAAAAGUGAGAAAUCCGAGGUUCGAAGUUCAACCCUAUAUUUUAAUGUCCAUGGAACUAUCGGUUGAACUGCAUUUUUCAGAACAAACACGUAUAUUUUUUAAUUAAAAAAUGUUAACAUAUGUCUAAUACAUCAUUCAAAACAUUAAAAGAGAAAGUUUUUAUAUAGAAAAUAUGUAUUUAUUAUUUUGAUAAAUAUUUGAUUACAAUUUAUUUUUUUUGUUACAAAAUAUUUGAUUUACAAUUUAAGACAGAAUUCUUUUGGUCAAGAAGACAGAAUUAUUUAUAUUAAUUUUUUCUAAUAAUGUCGCUAAGAGCAUCUACAAUAAAUGUUUAACAUACUUAAUACCAAAUUAAAUAUACACUUUCAAUGUAAAGUGAAAAUUGUGUGUGCGCACGCAUAUAAUAAAUAAAUAUACUAGUUAUUGAAAUACACUCUCCCCACUUUUUGUGUGUGUCAUGUUUGAUAAAUAAAUUGUAUUAAAAUCAAUUUUGUUUGAAUGCAAUGAUAUAUAAUUAUUAGUGAAAUUUAUUUAAUAUUUCUUUUGUGUGAUAAGCGUGAGAGAUUUCGUGCUUAUUAAGGAGUAACAUUAAAAAGUGUGAUAUGUAUACGCGAGUCACACUUAAAAAUUUAAAAUGAGAAAUUUUACUUUGACGCUCUAAGUGCAUGUUUGAUUUCAUUUUUAGAAUGAUAAAAAUUGAUUUUUGAGGUGUAUAUUUUGAUAUGUCUUGUUGCUUUCAAAUAUAAUUGUUUUGUUUAAGAAUUGAGUCUAACUAAAGUUAAGAUUUAUACUUUUUUUAUUCUUGAAUUAUUUUUUAAACACAAAUUUUAAAUUCAACUCAAUUUUCUACAAUUGUAUCCAUUCUAAACACAAAUCUCUUUACUCUCUACUCACUUUUAAUCAUAAUUCAUUUUCAAUAAUUAAUUCACUCUGCGUAAUUAAACAUACAGUAAGAUUAGGGCUGAAAAUGAGUGGAAUCCAACUCGUUUGACUUUGACUCGAUAAAAAUUGGUUCAUCGUAAAACUCGAGACAAAAAGUUCAUUAAACAUACUACAUGUAAUACAAAAACUUGAGACAAAAAGUUCAUUAAACCUAUUGCAUGUAACAGAGACAAAAACAAACAUAAUUUCACGAUUAGAAUUGAGGAUAAUCUUGUAUAAUUUUUUUAAGUAUAAUCAAGUUAAUAAACUCUUUUAUUUCCAAACUCAUAUAUAGAGACACACAAAUAUAAAUAUAUAAUCGAAUCAACUCAUAAUCAUUUAAUUAACAAACUUAAUUUUCAAAUCAACUGCAACUCAUAUGGUUUAUGAACCAUUCUCAAUGGUUUUCAAAUCAAAUUCUGAACUAUGCUCAAGUUAACUCGAAGUUGUAACUAAGACACUUGUUAACCUCAUUUUUAGCUAAUCGUUUAAAAACUAGAUUCACCACAGCACAAUUCCUUACUAGGGAGAAAUUAAAACCGUAAAUAAAGGUAUACUAAUUGUAAAUACGUACUUCAAUAGACCAAAAAGAAAGAAAACAAGACACCAACAAUCUCUCAAAAAAAAAAGACACCAAAAAUGGCAACUGUCGUAAUGGACCAAUGACCAAAGCAGUGACAACAUUAAUUAAAGCAAAAUACUGUAAAAGGAAAAAAGAAAUAAUACGCGUAAAAAAAUAAAGGCAGAAGGAAAUAAUACGUGUAAAAAAAUUAAUGAUAAUCAUUUAGUUUUGUUGGCGUUAUUAUUUCAACUUUAAAAAACCCCUCUUAAAUUAUUUAUUUGUUAAAAAAAAUAAUUGUUAAGUCGAAUGUUAUGAUGAGAUUUAUACUCCAACACCUCCAUUUAUGUAUGAAUUUAUAUUGAUUUUACAUUUUAUCUAUUUACAAAAUAACUUGUCAAAAAACAAUCUAUUUACAAAAUAAAAUAUUGUUGCAUUAUAAAAAAUAAUCUAAAAAUGAUAUUGGACUGUCAUACUUUACAUUCCAUUUGUUGAGGCCUCAAAUGGUAACAUAUAUAUUUUUAAUGAAUAUGUUGUAACUUUUGGUAACGUUAACGAAUUAUGUAUUUUUUAAAGUGAGAUGAUGUUAUAGUUUAAGGUAAAAAAAAACAUUGGAAUUCAAAUAGAGCUUCUGUUAUUAUUAUAAAUAAAAAUUUAUUUUUGAAUUUAUUGAAUAACUAAUAAAAUGCAGUGUUUACAUUUAUCUUUAUUCAAAGAAACUAACGGAUUCAAACUAGUUCAUCAAAUUUUUUAAAUAAAUCAAACUAGUUCUGGCCCAGAUGGAUUUAAUCCGGAUUUUUUUCAACAUUUUUGAUUUGUCUGUAAUUCUGACAUCUUUCAGGAAUGUUGUGUGUGGCUCAAUCAUAAUCACUUUCCACCGUCACUAAACUAACAAACAUUGCAUUAAUCCCCAAAGGUAAUGAGCAAAAGACCAUGAAGGAUUGGAGGUUGAUUGCCUUAUGUAAUGUCCUGUAUAAACUAGAGGCAAAAGUACUUGUUAAUCGACUCAAAAAAAUAUUGCAUGAAUGUAUCUCUGAGAGUCAGUCAGCUUUUGUACCUGAGCGUUCUAUUCUUGAUAACGUGAUGAUUGCUAUUGAGGUGGUGCAUCAUAUGAAAGUUUGUAAGAGAGUUAGAGACAAAAAUGUUGCACUUAAAUUAGAUAUUAGCAAGACGUAUGAUAGAAUUGAUUGACUUUACCUUAAGGAAGUGAUGCUUAAAAUGGGCUUUGACAAUAAAUGGGUUCAAUGGAUUAUGAUGUGUGUGGAACUUGUUGACUACUCUGUUAUUGUUAAUAAUGAGUUGGUAGGUCCGAUUAUACCUGUUAGAGAGGCUUGAGACAAGGUGAUCCGUUGUCGCCUUAUUUAUUUAUCUUGUGUGUUGAAGGCUUAUUCGCCCUUAUUCGGAAAGCAUAAUGAAGCGGAUAUCUCCAUGGAGUGUCAAUUUGUACUAAUGCACCUACCAUUUCUCACCUUUUGUUUGCAAAUGAUUGCUUUUUAUUUUUCAGGGAUGAUGACAGUGAGGCGCAAGUGAUGAAUAGCAUUCUCCAUAGUUAUGAAGUAGCUUCGGGGCAGGCCAUUAGUCUUCUAAAGUCCGAGGUUUUUUUCGCAAAGUUGUUCCAUCACCUUUGAAGAAAACUAUUACUAAUAUUUUAGGGGUCAGAGUGGUGAUGGGCACAGGUAAAUAUCUCGGUGUGCCAUCCAUGGUGGGCAGAAGUAAAGAGGCAACAUUUGGCUUUAUAAAGGACCGUAUUUGGCACAAAAUUAAUAGUUGGAGCAGUAAAUGUUUGUAAAAGGCUGGUCAUGAGGUAAUGAUCAAAUCGGUACUACAAUCCAUCUCAUCUUAUAUUAUGAGCAUCUUUCUACUUCCAAAUAAGCUUGUUGAUGCAAUAGAAAAAAUGAUUAAUGCUUUUUGGUGGGGCCACGAUGGUAAUAUGCGUCGCGGAUUACAUUGGAUGUCUUGGGAAAGGUUGUCUGUUCAUAAAUUUUUUGGAGGUAUGUGCUUUAAGGAUUUGACUUCUUUUAAUGUGGCUAUGUUAGGGAAACAGGGAUGGAGGUUCCAAACUGAUUCUAGUAGCCUUGUUUGUCGAUUAUUUAAAGCUAGAUAUUUUCCUACUUCUGAUUUUAUUGGGUCCAAAAUCGGGCAUAACCCAAGCUAUAUUUGGCGAAGUAUUUUUAGCGCAAAAAUAGUGGUAAAACAGGGUGCAAGAUGGCGGAUUGGUUCAGGGGCCAAUAUACCUUUCUUAGGCGCCCCUUGGCUCAAGGAUGGCUUAUCUUUUUCCUUUACUAAUCCUAUUUUUGAUUCUUUGAUGCAGGUGAAAUUAUGUGAUUUUAUUGAUCAAGAUUUAAAAAUGUGGAAUGCGCAUCUCAUUCGUAGUUUAUUUGAUACGUUAACUGCACAACUCAUACUCAACACACUGUUGCAGCCACUUGUAUUGGAGGACAAAAUGAUAUGGAAAGGGGAAAGGAGUGGUAAGUAUUAUGUGAAGAGUGCUUGCAAAAUUUGUGCUACAGAAAUUGCAGAUAACUCUCAUAUGCAUGUUAAUUGUCGUUGAAACCUUAUCUGGAAGUUAAAAGUGCCUCCUAAAAUUAAGAAUUUUCUUUGGCGUGUGUGUCGUGGUUGUUUUCCAACACGUGCUCACUUAAAUAGUAGAGGAGUCUCUUGUCCACUUGAUUGUGUUAACUGUAAUCAUAAUUAUGAAGAUAGCAUAUGUAUCCUUAUUGAGUGUCCUAAAGUUGUGCAAGUAUGGCGGAAAGCGAAUUUAUGCGACAUAAUUGACAGGGUAAUCCAUGAAGAUUAUAAUAUUAGUGCUCUCAUUUUCACUGUUCUACAGAAUUUACCUUCAGGGCAAUGUGAGUUGAUGCAACAAUCAUGUGGAGUCUAUGGAAAUGUAGAAACCUGAAACUUUGGCAGCAACAACUUGAGGCCGACUCGCAGGUGUACCAACGUGCAACCCAUGUAUUUGAAGAAUGGCGAGCAACCCAAAAAAUUAGAUCAAGCAGCAGCACUCAAUCUACAACUCCACAAGUUCAGCCUUCCAGACAAGAGGAAGAUGUUUGGAAGAAACCAGCACCUGGCAGUUACAAAUGCAAUAUUGAUGCAUCCUUUUCAACUUCUCUUAACAGAGUUGGCUUGGGCAUGUGUCUUAGGGAUGAGGAUGGUGCUUUUGUGCUUGCAAUAACAUAAUGGUUUGUCCCUCUGUGAUAUAGAUGUUGUAACACUCCUAUUUCUAUUAAAGCAAUUAAACAUGUGAAUAAUACAUUUAUUCAAGAAAUAGAGGCUACAUCAUCAUUCAAAAUUCAAAACCAAAGAUUCAAGCAUGCAUGUAUAAAUAAUCUCAUCAGUCGCAACGAAAUAUAAACCAGAGUAAUCCAAAUAUACACGUCAUGAAUCAAUCAUUACAUCAACAUAGAUGCAUCUCAAAAUCCCAACAUACGGGUAAUCUCCAAACAUAACAAAAGUCCAACAAAAGUUAAUCUAGACCGACACAACGACGCCUAGAUCAUAGCCAAUCUAACUCUAUAACACCGAUACCAGAGAAAGCUCCCGAUAUCACCAAGCACAAGAACUCACCAAGCACUACUCCUACACAACGUCUACCCAUCCAUACAGACAGGUAGGCGGUCAAAACCACUAGGGAUAAGUAUUACAUCAUCAUAAUCCAAAUAACAGUUACCAUGAAUAAUUUAAUUCAAACAUUAUGUACUUGAUCGAUAUAAAUAUAUACUUACAUCAUAACCCCAAUAACUCAUAUCAAUAAAUCACCAAUCACAUGUGUCAUGAACAAACAUCAAUUCACAGUUAUUCAUACACAAUCACCAAUCACAUUUCUAAAUAAGACUCAUGUCAUGAUAUGCACUUAAGACUCAUGUCAUGAUAUGCACUUAUUGACACAUAAAUGCAUGAAAGUAGAGUUGUCAAAACGGGCGGCCCGGCCCUAAAUGGGCCAGCCCUAACGGGCUUCGUGCUUUAUCGGGCCGGGCCAAAAAGCCCGAUUGGAAAACGGGCUUGAAAUAUACUACCCGAGCUCGGCCCUACACAGGCCGCGGGCUAAAGGGCCGGCCCGUAUUAAAAAUUACAUUUUUUUUUAUAUAAAAAAGUACUAUAAAAUACUCAUAUAGAUUUUUUUAUAAAUAAAUUUUUAAUAUGUUUAAAUAAUGUCUAGCACAAAAAUAAAUUGUCAACAUUUUCGUACACUAGUCGUAAACUAAAACGGCGAGGAAAACAAUUUUAAAUAAAUUAGAUACGUUAUGGUUAUAGAUAUUUACUUCCUUAAAAAAAAGUUAUAGAUAUUUAUAUAUUUGAUUUUUAAAAUUAUAAAUAACGAAACGAGUAAAUAUAAUUUUAUAUUACAUUUGUAUGUGUUAAUUCAUUGAAUUUUCACUUUUAUUUUUUACUUUGAUAAUCAGUAAAUAAUUAUUUGAAAAAUAUAUAUAUUUAUAGGAUUUUUUUGUUAUGCGGGCUAACGGGCUACCCGCGGCCCGUUCGGGCUAGCCCUAACGGGUACCGGACUUUUUAGGACUGGGCUAAAAAGCCUUAUUAAAAUUCGGGCUCAAUAUUUAAGGCUCAAGCCCUAUAAUUAAUCGGGCUAAACAGGCUGACCCGACCCGUUUUGACAGCUCUAUCUGCAAGGCCGAAGCCCACAAUCUAGAUCACUAUGGAUCUCUGCAAGACCGAAGUCCACAAACUAGAUCACCAAUGAUCUCUGCUAGGCCGGAGCCCAAAGAUGCAACAAAAACAUCUUAUCAAAUCUCAACACAACUAUGAUGCACGGACAUGUAACAAGACUCGAUAAUGCGACAACAAUUCCCAAUUUUCACCACAAUAUAUAGGACAACUCUCAAUUUUAUUGAUCAUCUCCACAACAUUUACAUUAUCAAGAAAACAUGCCCAUACACAAAUAAUUCAUGGUAUUCAUCAUCACACAUUAAUAUGAUUAUCAAUAAUCAACAAUGUCAUUCAACAUCAAUUAUUACAUUUAGUUUCACCAUUCAAACAUUUCUUACAUUCUAAGUAAGAUAGCAUACACAUCUCAUGAUAAACAUCAUAUCCAAUACAAUCAUUCAUUCAUAUAACUUCACUUAGUCAUAUAAGAAUAAUCAUAACCAUUCAUAAGGUAAUUGACUCAAGAAAACAUUUCCGACCAAAAACCGUAUCAAGUGGCAACCGACCAACAUUGAUAAAUCUCAAGACAAGACGACAUAGACAAGUUGAAAGUUCUCAAACAACCUUAAUCAAUCAUGUAUUCAUGAACUUGAGUCGUCUCCGGACUAUUAAACAUUAAUCCAAUAAUAACUUAAGUUCGUAUGAAAAACCCAAUUUCACAACCUUUCACAUUCCCACCCGAAAUGUCACUUUUUACAUGAUUAAGAUGUUUGACCACUCUUGCAAGUUUUACCUAAGUCUAUAUGAGCUGUAGGUUUAACUUAUAAGUCGUCCCAAUGUUCACAAAAGUUUGUUUCCGACAAAGGUCUAAGUUCCAAAAUUCCCAAGUUAAGACUCAAAUGAAGAAUUUCAAGUUCAUGCAAGUUAAUCAUGUUCCCGUGAGUUUAGAGGCUUAAACAGUAGUUAAACAUGUUUAAAGAAUCAUUUUACAAAGCUCGGAUUGGCCACCAAAGACCCGGAACAAAGAUCAAAGUGGCUGAAAACUGGACUUGUUCGCUUAAGCGACCACCUGGUUCGCUUAAGCGACCACCUGGUUCGCUUAAGCGAACGAGUUAUAGUGGCAAACCACAUUGCACACUUUCUGGUCGCUCACCAGCUCGCUUAAGCGACCACAUGUUCGCUUAAGCGAACGAGUUCCAGUAGCAAUCAGAAAAAUUCGCUUACCAGCACGCUAACUGGUCGCUUAAGCGACCUAACCCAGAAAAAUCAGUAUGAAUGCUCGCUUACAGGUCGCUUAAGCGAACCUCUAAGCGAGCUUAAGCAAACCUCUAAGCGAACGUUCACAGUUUUGCAGAAAAUGUUACGGGUUUGGACCCCCUUUCACCCAAAAUCCCCAAUUUCGAUCCCUCAUCGCCCAAAUGUGUUUCCAGAACAUGUUUAUAGGUCAAUAUGACUAAAAAGACUCACAAAGACUCAAUCAAACUUGAAAACACUUGACAAUUGGACCAAUUCACAAAUUUCACCAAAACACCAACAUCAUCUCAUUUCUCAACAACAAACCAUGAAUCAUGCAAACCCAAGCCAUUAAUUAUCAUCAACAACAUGACUAAACAACAACAACUUCAAUUGAUCAUGAAACUUAUCACAAUUCAUCAACAAUAAUGCAUAAUUCACCAAUUGAGCAUAUUUUCAACACAUACCCAUUUUUCAUACUUUGAACAUGUAAUUCAACUAACAACAAUUCAAUUAUUCAUAACUUCAUACAUCUAAACAUGUCAUCAUAAUUAGAGCACGAAUUUCAUCAUUUAUGAACAAUUAAUCAAUUCACCAAAUUAAGCACUUUUCAUACCAAUAAUUGAAAAUUACAAUAAGUGAUUAUGAUGAAUUCUAACCCCCUUACCUUAGUUAGGUUAAUCUAUCUAGCUUAGACUUCAAUUUUGCUCCUAGCUCUUCUCCCAACCCUUGAUUCUUCAAGUCCUCUUCUCUCUAACCCUUUUAUCCUCUUGCUCCCACUUUCUCUCUCUAUUCUCUCAAAAAUAUCUUAUGAAGUGAAAGUGUGAGGAAAUUUCUCAUAAUACUGGGUUUAUAUAGUGUGUCUCACAAAUAGGCAUAACCCUCAACUUAAUAGACUUAACCCAUUUCUAUUCAAAUCACAAAUGUUUCCACACACACAACGGUAUUUCACUAAUAACGGUCAAUUAACGGUAAAACAUCACCAACGGUCACUAAACGCUAAAAUAUCAAUUAUUACUCUGGUCACUCGGUAAAACUAAUGGCCUUCAACAAAUACUAAAAUAAUUCCCGCCAUACUUUUAAUUUUACCCGUUCUCACAAAAUGACCAAAAUACCCCUAAGUCCAAAAUGACUAAAAUACCCUUCUAACACGGAAACAAUGAAGAUGCACCAAAUGAUGAAUAAUCGCACACAAACACAUAAAACAAAUAAUAAAUGUAAUUAAAAUAAAUCUGGCUAAAAAUCGGGUUGUUACAGAUGUGGGGAAGGUUGUUGGUCUACACAAAGCUUUGGAUUGACUUUCUAAUCAACAGUUUGAUAAUGUAGAUUUUGUUCUUGAUUGUAAAAGGAUUGUUGAUUGCGUCAACUCUAGUUUAGAUGAUAGUAGCAAGUUUGGAUGUAUUAUCACUGCUUGUAAACAGUUGCUAGUAGAUAGAUUUCAGAACUCUCAUGUUGAGUUCACCAGGAGACAAUCAAAUAGGGUAGUUCACGAGUUAGCUCAUGCAGCCCUGUCUAAUCAUAGCCCCCACAUUAUUGAUGAUGCACCUAUAUGUAUUUGACAUAUUUUAGCUAAUGAAAUGCAAUGAUUUCCUUCCUUCAAAAAAAAAAAAAAUUGGUAUCAGAAAAAAGAUAAACUUAAGACUUGAUGAUAAACACAAUCUGAGGUCUUAAACUAACACAAUCACCGAUCUAAAUUGGUUUCAUUCAAUUUUUUUUUUUUUUUUAACAAAUCAAAAUGAGAUAUAUUAAUAACAACUAAAAUUAAAACAACACAAUCACAAAACUCAUGAACUAGAACCUAUUACAUUCUAUUUUUAUUUUUUUUUAGAAAAUCACAUUCUCAUUUUGAAAUCAAUGCUGACAUACACAUAAAAAUAUUAAGAGCUAUUAUAGCGUUAUCAAAACAAAUUCCAAUCUUAAAGAAGAAUAUCCAUUAUUUACAAUAAAUUCAUUGUUUUAUUUUUGGAAAAAUUAAAUUCAGAUGUUAAUACAUUAAAAUAAUUAAUUUAAUGGUAAGAAAAUGUUGAAUAGACCGUGGGAAUUUCGUGUGGGUCCCAUAUUUCCAAUAUUGUCCUCUCCUCUCUAAUUGGCUCAACCAAUAAGGUAAUUACCCCAAAACCAAAAUAUAAAAAAAACCAAAAAAGUGACCAAUUCACACUUCACACACAAAACACAACACAACACAACAAAAAAACACAGUGUAACACACAACAAAAACAUCUUCAUAAGAAUCACACCUUAAACUCUUCAAAAUCUCUCUCUCUCUCUCUCUCUCUCUCUCUCUCUCUCAAAAAGUUUCAAUUUUUCUUGAGAGAGAAUCACAUUCACAUCAAAAAUCUCAUAUACCCAUUUCAAAUUCUUCAAUUGGGUUCUCUUUAAUCUUCAAAACACACACAAUUCACACCUUAAACACUUCAAAAACUCUCUCUCUAUAAAAGUUUCAAUUUUUUUUUUUGAGAGAGAAAUUCGUUCAAAUCAAAAUCUCAUAAACCCAUUUCAAAUUCUUCAAAUGGGUUCUAUUUAAUCUUCUUUUUCAUCAACCCCAUUAAUUUUUUCAUCUAAAAAUUUGAUUUUUUUGAUAAUUUUCUGUAAUGUCGACUGCUCCUGCACCAUCUUCGCCGCCGGCGGGUAACGCCACCGCACCACCACCAGCAACACCUACUGCACCACCACCUGCAACACCUUCAUCACCACCACCUGCAACACCUUCAUCACCACCUCCGGCAACACCUUCAUCACCUCCGCCGUCAACUCCGGCGAAUCCACCACCGGUCACCCCAUCUGCUCCGCCUCCUUCUACCCCGGCAACACCUUCAUCACCACCUCCGUCGACGACUCCAUCAGCACCACCACCAUCAACACCUUCAAAUUCACCACCCUCGCCACCAACAACUCCGGCGAUAUCACCACCGUCCGGAGGAGGCACUACUCCGUCUCCACCUUCCCGGACUCCACCAAGCUCUGAUGACAGUCCAUCACCACCAUCCUCCAAAACUCCGCCGCCACCUUCACCACCGUCUUCAUCAAGUAUAUCAACAGGAAC
rnacentral:lncRNA from 1 species